rnacentral:rRNA from 1 species
UGGGGAAUAUUGCACAAUGGGCGAAAGCCUGAUGCAGCAACGCCGCGUGAGGGACGACGGGCCUUCGGGUGUAAACCUCUUUUAGCAAGGAAGAAGCGAAAGUGACGGUACUUGCAGAAAAAGCGCCGGCUAACUACGUGCCAGCAGCCGCGGUAAUACGUAGGGCGCAAGCGUUAUCCGGAAUUAUUGGGCGUAAAGAGCUCGUAGGCGGUUUGUCGCGUCUGCUGUGAAAAUCCCGAGGCUCAACCUCGGGCCUGCAGUGGGUACGGGCAGACUAGAGUGCGGUAGGGGAGAUUGGAACUCCUGGUGUAGCGGUGGAAUGCGCAGAUAUCAGGAAGAACACCGAUGGCGAAGGCACGAUCUCUGGGCCGUAACUGACGCUGAGGAGCGAAAGGGUGGGGAGCAAAACAGGCUUAGAUACCCUGGUAGUCCACCCCGUAAACG